rnacentral:lncRNA from 1 species
GUCCUCUUAAUGCCUGGACUUCAUGGAUAUAACUAGAUAGAGAGUCUCAGGAACAAACAGCAAAGUUAUUUACAACUUUUAUCUUCUUCUGAUAGUAACUAUUUUGAUAAUGACAAUAAGUUAUCUGAAUGGUGCCUGCAACUUCUGUGACCAUUUUGCCAUGUUGGGACCAAGUGUGAAUGCAAAGUUUGCACAUAGAGGAGAACUGACCAAUCGGAGAAUGGAAAACUUCUUGAUCAUUGAUGACAGCAGUCAACCAGUGAAGCCAUCAAGCCUGGAGUUUUUCCUACUGCUGGAAUUCUUGUCAUUGCAGAAAAUCAAUGUUGUGUUCUGAUUUGGGGCAUUCUAGCUUGCAAAUAGAGGCAUCUUAGCUGACACCAAAUGCUCCCUAAGGAUAUUCCAAAGAUAAAAUUGAUGUCUUCAUUUUGAAGGGCAUUGAUAAAGUUUUACAUUUGUCUUUAUUGUAGUGAAGAUUUUUAAAUUUAAAAAAUAAUGUCUGAAUUGAUUGAUUAAUUGCUUUAUGCAGGCAGCAACACAGGGUGAAAUACAAAUAGGUGAUUGACAAGUGCUGAUUAUUCAAGAGAAGUAGAUAAUCCAUUUAUGGUGAUUAUGUCUAGUUUUUCUUCGUUUUUUAAGUAGCUAUUUUUUGAAUGCAGAGUUUGUAAUUACUCCAAAUGAAGUCAAGACCCAAGACAUAACAAAAAGAUUAGAGUGUCUGAAGAAAACUGGAUGGUUUUGACACAUGUGAACUUAUAUCCUAGUCUGUUUUCAUAUUCCAAAAGCGAACCAAAUUGACAUUUUGGCUUUUCAAGGGUUUUUAGAUUAUAAUCAUAUCUUUUUCCUUAGGUGAGAAUUCUUGAGAGUAUAUGAUUAAUAGCAUAUUUUUCUGAUUAUAAGAAAUCAUUAAUUUUAAUAGUAAAUGUAAUAAUAGAUUUUGAAAAAAAUGUGACAUUAAAACACAGAAGUAUUCAUUAUAAAGACAUUCUAAAUAUCUUUAUGUAACAAAAACAUACCUUGUACACUUGAGGAAUAUGAAAAGUUAAUAUAAAAUGGCAAAUAAGAGAUCACUGGUUAGGUCAAUGGCUGCCGUAACACCAUCUGUGUAGAAAUCAUAUUCAAAUGUCCCUCCCUCCACAAUUUUCAGAUGUAUAAAAAUUUAUCAAUUUUUCUUUGGAAACAACCUCAAAACCAUCAUGCUUUCAUUUAUUUAUUUUUUUCUUUAAGUAAUCAAUCCCCUGUCUCCAGUAUCUACCUCUCAAAAUUACCUUUUCUCAUUUUAAAUAUUACUUAUUCAAAAUGUUCCUGUCUAGUUUUUCAAAAUCGUAUUUAUUUUUCCCCCAUAUCUUUCAAGCCACAGCAAAAGUUUAUUACAGAAUAUUUAUGUGUCUUUUGUGUGAUCAGGGUUUUUAUUGCCAAGACCUGUUUGAUGCAUUUGAAGUUGCUCAUUGAAAACCAGAAUGUGUCAAUGAACAUGGAGACCGCUGAAAGAAUAGUCAUGGUCUGAAUAGUGUAACAAAAAUAUACAAGGCAAUAUACAUUUAUAAAUGGAUGAAGAGAUAGAUAGGUGAAAAGAUAGGUUAGAGAGAGAGAUUCAUACAACUCUGCUAUGAUAUCUCUAAAAUGAAGACAGGACAUGUAUAUUAGCUCGUUCUCACACUGCUAUGAAGAAAUGCCUGAGACUGGGUAAUUUAUGAAGGAAAGAGUUUCACAUUGCUGGGAGGCCUCAGGAAACUUCCAGUGAUGGUGGAAGCCAAAGGAGAAGCAGGCACCUUCUUCACAGGGUGGCAGGACAAAGUGAGUGCAAGCAGGGGAAAUGCCAGGCACUUCUAAAACCAUCAGCUCUCCUGAAACUCACUCAUUAUCAUGAGAACAGCAUGAGGGGAAACUGCCCCCGUGAUUCAAUUACCUUCACCUGGUCCCACCUUUGAUAUGUGGAGUUUAUGGGGAUUACAAUUCGAGGUGAGAUUUGGGUGGGGACACAGAACCAAACCAUAUCAACAUGUGAAGGAAUGAUUUUUUUUUUUUUUGCCACCCAGAGGGAGACUGAGAUGUGCUUCUGAGAUCGCUAAGCAGCAAAGAAGGCAAAACUCCUCCAAGCUCUAGCAGAGAGAGGAGCUAUGCCAAGAGUCUCAGCGAAGAACGAGCAGAGGGUGGCAGAAGCAGACUACUCAGUAGGCUCUAACCACCGAUUAGAGACAGUGGGACUGAGGCCCACAGGGACUGAGGGAGCAGCACCCAGAGUGGCUGGAGGACAGAGACACAAGUGUCAGUACCGGUGCAGAAAUGUGGGGAAACUUCUCCCAUUGGAAGGCCUGAUUCAUGUGCUGCACCAGAGAGUAGGAAUGUUAUAGGUGAUUUGGGGGCCAAACUAUCAUUAGCCUGCUUUGGGAUUUUUUUUGUAUCUAUAAUGUAUUUGUGCAUUAAUCAAUACAUUUUCAGUUUGCCAAACACAAGCAAAAACUUCAGAAUAUUCAAGGUAGAUAAGUAGUAGCAAAACUUUUGUUAGAUAUGGGCAGAAUGCAUGUGAUAUGUUAAAGUAUGAGAUAGGUAAUGUGGAAAUAGGGCAUGUGUAUUAAACAGAAAGGAGUAGAAGUACUGGGAGAUAUUUACAAGCUAAAUAUCCACUAUAUGUAAGUAUGCAGGAGCCACUAAAUGUUCAGCAUAUAGUCAGCAGGCAUGGAUACUUAAUUUUCAUGAGGUUUUAAAUUCAGCCACAUGCUGAUGACACCUAUUCUGGCCUCAAAUAUCCUCUGCUCAUAUUAAUUAAUUAAUUCAUUCAUCCCAUAGCUGUUCUUCAGUCAAGCUUCAGCUUUGUCAAGUUACACAUCCCCGAGUCUCUCCAAUAGAGCAAGUGUGUAAUUGGUCAAGGAUACUGCUUAUCUGUGGGCCCCUUUGUUUGAACCUAAAUUCUGUCCUUGUAUUGUGGCACCAUCAGCAGAAAGAUUGACAUGGCAGAGAGUGUUGGGACAGCUGAGCAUUGUAUGCCACGGGAUUCAGGCAGUGAGGACUUCUUACUUGCACCCUAUGCUAAGUGUCAUCUCUUUUGCCUUGCUUCUCACUCUGUGAUUUAAAGCGAUUCAAUAACUGUGUGAUUGAGCAUUUUGAUUUUGUUUGUGAGCUUCGCUGCUUAGUGCCCACUGGGCUGUCUUUCCUAAUAGUGUGCACAGAGGUCCCCAUUGCAUCAAGACAAAUUCCCGUGCAGUAGCAUCACCAACCAUCUUCUAUAUGACAUAUUUGUUUAUUUUUGUUCCAAACCCUAGAAAAGUUCAUGGAGACUAGAAGGUACUCCAGAAGUAAUUGUAGAAUCAAAGAAUAAAGUUUAAAAUUGCUCUUCCUUAGGAGCUACCCUAUUAUGACACUGAGCAUUAUUUGCAAAACAUGCAGUUCAAACUUUAAUAAAAAUUUCAAGCACCUAUAAGCCAGAAACUCUCAUAUUCAUCCUUCCACUCACCUAAGUGUAAGAAACAAUUUGCAUGUUAUGGAAUAAAACUCUGUAUUUAUAAUAGGAGAGGAGAAAAGUAAUAUAGCACCUACUAUAUAAGGUUUGUAAGUAUGUUACAUAUAAUGAAUACACAGUAUCAAUGAGGGAGAUACUAUGAUUAACUCCCUUUUACAAAUAAGAAAACUGAGGCUCAGAAAGGUUGCAUAAUGUUUCCAAAGUCAUGAAAGGUAGAAUUUAAAUCUCAAAGUCCUGCCUGUCAUUUAUAAUGGAAAAUCAGAGAGAUUAAAGUAGUCACCUGAGAUCAUGUGAUUUGGAAGUGGCUAGAAGGUAAACACCCUGACACCCAUUCAGACUUUUGCCAAAACUCCUCCAAUACCAAGCGCUUUCUAUAAACUCAUUCAGAUGGUGUAAAUGUUACAAAAUGUAAUGAUAUUAAUAAAAUGUUAUAACAAAG